UACAGAGGGUGCAAGCGUUAAUCGGAUUUACUGGGCGUAAAGCGCGCGCAGGCGGCUUCCCAAGCGCCACGUGAAAGCCCCGGGCUCAACCCGGGAGGGUCGCGGCGAACUGGGAGCUUGAGGCCGGUAGAGGUGGUGGAACUCCUGGUGGAGUGGUGAAAUGCGUAGAGAUCAGGAAGAACACCAGUGGCGAAGGCGGCUCACUGGCCCGGUACUGACGCUGAGGUGCGAAAGCGUGGGGAGCAAACAGGAUUGAGAUACCCGGAGUAAGU
rnacentral:rRNA from 1 species